rnacentral:rRNA from 1 species
UACGUAGGGUGCAAGCGUUGUCCGGAAUUAUUGGGCGUAAAGAGCUCGUAGGCGGUUUGUUGCGUCGGCUGUGAAAAACGCGAGGCUCAACCUCGCGCCUGCAGUGGGUACGGGCAGACUAGAGUGCGGUAGGGGAGAUUGGAAUUUCCUGGUGUAGCGGUGGAAUGCGCAGAUAUCAGGAGGAACACCGAUGGCGCAAGCGACUUGCUGGCUGUAACUGAGCUGAGGAGCGAAAGCGUGGGGAGCGAACAGG